UCAAUUUUUGGAAAACUUCAUUAGCGUUAACGAAUGUUAUUUUAGAAUUCUUAUAUUUGUAUUUUGUGCGUUCCUGCUCCCGUGAUGAAUGAUGCGUUCACUGUGCAACGGUCGCUUGCUUAGCGGCUUGCCUGUACAACGCUUUUUUGCUCGUUAUUAGCGUGAUGUGUGACACAGGCGUUGGUUUUAUAAUCGAAAGGAUUUGUAUGUAAGUUACGACAGUGCGACAGUACAAUGCGCGCCAGCGGCCGUGCGGGCGGGUGUUAUAGGAUUACAGCUGGACUACAACUGUGGAUACCGCUUUAUCGUGAGUACUAUGCUUAAGUGCUUUUCCCUUGUGCACCAUUUAGAAAUAUUACUUCUACUAGAACCUCAUCUCUUUGUUCCGCGUCAGGUUCGUGGCACCUGUAAGUGCAUGCCGUUUUACGAGUAACAUGUACGAGUAGCUAGUUAAUGUUACCAGCAACUUGUUUCAUUCUCGUGUUUUUGUCUUUGUAUUUCUUCGUUCAUGCUCGUGUUUUAGAUCCUUCACACCACGGGUGUUCUCGAACUAGCGUAGAACUAAGAGCUUCGCCGGCUUUCGGGGGCAAUGAGUAGUAGUCAUUGCCCCCGAAAGCCGGCGAAUCUCUUAGUUGAUAUGUCCAACUACUCCACAGCAGAAAUGUUGAGAGAUUUGCGUGCUUUUGGGGGCCACGACUGCUCAAAUUAACUGCACACUCUAAUUACAUGUUGCAAUUGAAUGCAUAUUUACUUGUGCCUUUUCAACUUUCCAGAAACCUUAAGCUGCUUGGGCUCAAAGAAAAAUGUCGAUCCAUCGUGUGCUAUUAAGAACAUCUUACAUACUUUGUUGAAUGAUUCAAGAUGACCACAAGUUCUUUGGAUCUGUCGUUGCUGGGAACAGCGAUCCUGCGAAGUGGCACUGGUUGCCUACCAGCUAGCCUCUGUCCGAGCAGGCCACUUCACCGUUACUUGAAGCUGCUGCCGGCUAAAAGAAGCUGAGCAAGCUCCGUGCGCAUAUGCCCACUGAUAUAACCUGGAGAGAUGGUCACUUCUGGGCACACCAUCCUUCCUGACCAAGUUGUGUGGAAAGGCAUCCAAGAC